AUGUGUACUGCUGUGAACAGUGUGGCAAAUACUUUAUAACAGACAAACAGUUACAACAACACAUGUUUACCCACACUGAGGAGAGACCUUAUAAAUGUGACCUGUGUGAGAAGACUUUUAAAUCUCCACGAUACCUGAGGCGACACCAACAGAGCCACACCAGAAAGAGACUCUACAAGUGCAGUUACUGUGAGAAGCAGAGCGACACAGAUGGAUCCAGUUCUCAACCCUGUCAUCACCGUGGUGGUGGGAAAGACUUUCAUUGUGACCUCUGUGGAAAAACUUUUAGUCGACAAGACACCCUAAGAGAACAUCAACGUAGACACACUGGAGACAAACUGAAAUACUGUAAAGAAUGUGGGAGAAGCUUCAUCACAUCAACUGAGUUAAAACGACAUGAACUGAUUCACAGUGGGGUUAAAAAGCACCUCUGUGAUCAGUGUGGGUCAUCCUUCACCACUGCAGGUGAGCUUAAAUCACACAAACGAGUCCACACAGGAGAGAAACCAUACAAGUGCAGACACUGUGACAAAAGUUUCUCACAAUCAGGUCAUCGUAACAGGCAUGAACGUACACACAUGGAAGGAAACUACAGCUGUGACCAGUGUGACAAGAGCUUCAGGAGUCUCAGAUCAUACUCC